rnacentral:ncRNA from 2 species
CUCUUAUGAAGAGCGGUGGAGGGACUGGCCCUAUGAAGCCCGGCAACCAUUUAACAAACUGUUAAAAAGGUGCUAAUUCCUGCAAAGCGUCAUGCUUUGACAAAUAAGAG